rnacentral:lncRNA from 1 species
GUUGACGGAAAAAAGAGCCAAAUGAAGAUCCUUUAAUUUAUUUUUGUUUUCAUUUAUUUAUUUUUUUAAGAUAGAGUAUCUUUCUGUCACCCAGGCUGGAGUGCAGUGGUGUAAUUUUGACUCACUGCAAUGUCCACCUCCCGGAUUCAAGCAGUUCUCAUGCCUCAGCCUCCUGAGUAGCUGUGAUUACAGGCACCCGCCACCACACCCGGCUAAUUUUUGUAUUUUUAGCAGAGACAAAAUUUCACCAUGUUGGCCAGGCUGGUCUCAAACUCCUGACCUCAGGUGAUCCACCUUCCUCGGCCUCCCAAUGGUCCUUUCCUUUUAAUUGAAAGCGUGGCACAUAAUCAGGGAAAAUUUAAGUAGCACCUAUAAUCCCAGCACUUUGGGAGGCUGACGCAGGCGGAUUGCCUGGGCACAGGAGUUCGUGACCAGCCUGGGCAACAUGGUAAAAUCCCAUCUCUACUAAAAUACAAAAAAUUAGCCGAGCAUGGCAGCGUGCACCUGUAGUCCCAGCUACUCAGGAGGCUGAGGCAGGAAAAUUGCUUGAACUCAGGAGGCAGAGGUUGCAGUGAGCUGAGAUCGCGCCACUACACUCCAGCCUGGGCGACAGAGCGAGGCUUCAUCUCAAAAAAUAAACAAAUAAAUAAAUAUAAAGCCAUAAUAAAUAAAUAAAUCUUCUCUCUCCCUUCCUCAGACUACCAGGUCUCCCUCUCCCAUGAAACCACUGUUGCUAGUUUCCUGUAUAUCCUUCAAGUAACAAUCAAUGUGUGGACAAGAGGAGCAUUCUAUAAAAGUGAGUGAGCAUCAGUUAUGCACCUAGCCUUGUGCUAGACAUUGAGAAAUCAAAUACAGUGAUGAUGGCCCCAGAAGAUCGCAGUGGGGAAGACAGACUAGAAAAGAGGUUUCUCUUCUUAGAUCUUCAUCUCAGAGGCGGCACCACCACCCGCUCUCAGCCAAGCCAGGGAUCCAGAAGCCCUUCCAGGUCAGCCCAAUGCCUCACUUCCCACCCACUUCCCCUGUUGUUGGCUUCUUUUUACUUGCUGGUUCUAUAUCUUCUCAGCCUGCAAAAGCAGGUCAGCCUCUCAAGUGAUCUUUCUACAUCUUUCCUUUUUUGUUUUUCCGUAUCCCUAAAAUAUUUACCACCCCAUGGGCACAGGGAGCUUCAUAAAUUAGUGCAAGUCUAAUUCUAUCAUUUCUAUUUAAAAUUCCUGAGUGGCUCCCUGUGGUUCCCAAGAUAAAAUUUCCA